AGGAGACAGAACUUACAGUCUACUUUUUCAUGAAGACCUGGUGUUGUGAAAGUUGACUAUGGUCUCAAGGAGAUCCUGUUACUGGAAAGAAAGUGGAAGAUUUUUCAAGAUGCAUUUUCAUCAUGGACCAGAGACUAGGAUAAAGAAAGCAGUCUGCAUGAACAAUCAAGACCCCUAUGAAACAAGAGGUUACAGAGAGCAAGAUGGCGG